CGCGGCCUAUCAGCUUGUUGGUGGGGUAAUGGCCCACCAAGGCAACGACGGGUAGCCGGCCUGAGAGGGUGACCGGCCACACUGGGACUGAGACACGGCCCAGACUCCUACGGGAGGCAGCAGUGGGGAAUAUUGGACAAUGGGCGAAAGCCUGAUCCAGCAACGCCGCGUGAGGGAUGACGGCCUUCGGGUUGUAAACCUCUUUCAGCAGGGACGAAGCGCAAGUGACGGUACCUGCAGAAGAAGCACCGGCCAACUACGUGCCAGCAGCCGCGGUAAUACGUAGGGUGCGAGCGUUGUCCGGAAUUAUUGGGCGUAAAGGGCUCGUAGGCGGUUUGUCACGUCGGGAGUGAAAACUCAGGGCUUAACCCUGAGCCUGCUUCCGAUACGGGCAGACUAGAGGUAUGCAGGGGAGAACGGAAUUCCUGGUGUAGCGGUGAAAUGCGCAGAUAUCAGGAGGAACACCGGUGGCGAAGGCGGUUCUCUGGGCAUUACCUGACGCUGAGGAGCGAAAGUGUGGGGAGCGAACAGGAUUAGAUACCCUGGUAGUCCAUGCCGUAAACGUUGGGCACUAGGUGUGGGGGACAUUCCACGUUUUCCGCGCCGUAGCUAACGCAUUAAGUGCCCCGCCUGGGGAGUACGG
rnacentral:rRNA from 1 species